CAUCCCUGUGCUGUCCAAAUCCCUUAUGCAAGAGUUAACCAGCAUCUUCACUCUUUCAUCCCUGUGCUGUCCAAAUCCCUAAUGCAAGAGUUAACCAGCAUCUUCACUCUUUCAUCCCUGUGCUGUCCAAAUCCCUUAUGCAAGAGUUAACCAGCAUCUUCACUCUUUCAUCCCUGUGCUGUCCAAAUCCCUCAUGCAAGAGUUAACCAGCAUCUUCACUCUAUCAUCCCUGUGCUGUCCUAAUCCCUUAUGCAAGAGUUAACCAGCAUCUUCACUCUUUCAUCCCUGUGCUGUCUAAAUCCCUUAUGCAAGAGUUAACCAGCAUCUUCACUCUUUCAUCCCUGUGCUGUCCAAAUCCCUUAUGCAAGAGUUAACCAGCAUAUUCACUCUUUCAUCCCUGUGCUGUCCAAAUCCCUUAUGCAAGAGUUAACCAGCAUCUUCACUCUUUCAUCCCUGUGCUGUCCAAAUCCCUUAUGCAAGAGUUAACCAGCAUCUUCACUCUUUCAUCCCUGUGCUGUCCAAAUCCCUAAUGCAAGAGUUAACCAGCAUCUUCACUCUUUCAUCCCUGUGCUGUCCAAAUCCCUUAUGCAAGAGUUAACCAGCAUCUUCACUCUUUCAUCCCUGUGCUGUCCAAAUCCCUUAUGCAAGAGUUAACCAGCAUCUUCACUCUUUCAUCCCUGUGCUGUCCAAAUCCCUUAUGCAAGAGUUAACCAGCAUCUUCACUCC